rnacentral:misc_RNA from 1 species
GAAAAUAGCAAUCAAAAGUUUGUUUCCUUAAUUGUGGGUAGAAGAAUAACUACAAACCUGUUAUCAAUGAACAGUACAAAUGAUUUGUAUCAGAUAAAAAUCAACACAAUCAACUCUAAACACAUUCAAUGAGCCUAUUUCCCUUUCAUUUCGUGUAUUUUACAGUAAUAAAAUCAUUGCUGCUAUUUUAAUUUAAAAACAAAUCAUCACCGGGUUGUCAAAUCCCAAAAAAAUUGAAGUUCUAAUUUUUCAUCGAUUGUUUGAGAAUAAGCUGAAAUCCCAACGGCGCAGCAAACCAUCCAUAAUGUGGCUUGCUGGGUUCCGUUCUACUGUCAAUGUGGCUUUUGUGUUACUUGACAAGUCAGUAUCUAUUGAGCUCUGGAUGCUCCCUGAAGUAUCACUACGGCCAGAGGUGGUUGUGCUUCUUGAUUCCGUCAUAGAUGGUGAGGUGUCAAAUGCUGGUCCCGUGGAUGACACAGUAGGAUCAGGUGAUGGGUGUUCUAUUGCUGAAUUUUCACCAUUGAUUGCUGGAGAGGAAGCAGGUCCUAUCUUUGAAGGCUCAUGUUGCUCUACUGUCUUCAAAGAAUCACAAUGUUCUGCAAUGGAAGAUGCAUCUAUGUAAUGUUUCUGUGAAGAUUCAACGGAAGUGGGGUUGACAUUUGCCUGUUGUUCUUCAGCAUUAGGAUAUCUCAUCUCCAAGUCCUUUAAUGAUGCAAUUACUGCUUCCAUGAACAUCUGAAAAAUGCAGGCAAUCAAAGUCUUGAGAACGUCAACAUCAUUUCACACAUGCAAUCUAAAUUACUCACCCUUUCUUCCUCCUCUACAUCACAUGGAAAACCUGCCAAGUCAUCCAGUUGAUACUCCACAUAUUGAUCAUCAUCCAUCGUUGUUGGAACAUGUGGACCGUAAGGAUGACCAUUGGAUAAUUCAAAGCUUAUCAUUUUGGAUGAUGAUGGCAAAUGAUCGUCAUCAAUUUCUCCACCCUGCCAAAAAAAAAAACAAAAAAAGAGGCCAUGUCAGUGAUCUUUUUGUGCUCAGUAAACCACCAAGCCCUAUUUACAAUCCUAUGAAUCGGGAAAAGGCCAAAUCAUAUUGUACAAACAAGGACUCAAGUUUUGGAGAAAGGGAAAGAAUAAUGUGAUUGCUGUUGCAGGUCAUAUAGUCCCUAAACUGAACCAUCUAACCAAUACGCUAAAUUUGUCAGGAGUAUUGUCCACUCUGUAGCCAAAAAGGCACGAGGAUACCUCAACUUCAGAUUGAUUGCACUCAGAUGGAAUAUCGGAUGGAACCUGAACAGAGUCAAAGAAUCUCCUCAAUAAGAUGCAAGACAUAACACAAUACAGCCAAAAAAACCAAAGUGUUAUUUCUUUUCAGAUUCAUAAAGUACACCUACUUCCUAAAACUACUUUGUUACCAUGCAACAGGAUUAAAAUGGCACUCAAGUUCUCUUAUUCUGUUCACUCUUUUCUAGUUCCCUCCUGCAGUAACAUUUAUACCUUAUAGUUGGAAGGGUGGAAUGUUAAAAGAGAAGGAUCAUAAGAGCUAUAAUAUACAUCCAAAUUUCGUAUAAGUUAACUAAUGUUAGAGGCAUAACAUAGGUUUUUGAGGCAUUUAGUUUAAACAAAUGUCACCUGUCCGUUUUCAUGCCAAGUAACUUUCUCAUAUUCAAGCAAAAAGCAUACCAAAUAACCACUGACCUCUGUUCGACUCAUUGGUCUUUUGGGACAAACUUGUUCAAGGGCAUGGAAAUCUUUUCCAUUGCUUGUUGAUGGUUCUGCAGCUAAUAAUCAAUCAAUAGGAGAAUGACUGAAUGAAGAGCACCAAAUAAAGGAUAGAUUGAAAUUAACAAUAUGAAGUUAAAAUGUCAAAAUAUAUGUGAGCCAUGCCUUUAGAAGCAACUGAAAAUUCCA